GGCUCUGUAGCUCAAUUGGUUAGAGCGCACGGUUCAUACCCGUGAGGUUGUGAGUUCGAUUCUCACCUGAGCCA